rnacentral:tmRNA from 1 species
GGGGGUGCCCUGGUUUCGACGAGAUAACUGGCGGGUAUCCGGGCGUGUCCAGGUUGGUCUCCAUGGUCCUGGUAAAAAGGAGACCAAACCAUAAUUGCAGACUCUUACGAUUCUGUAGCUCUAGCUGCUUAAUUAGCAAUCCUAGACUUGAGGCGCUACUGCCAAUAAACAGAAUGUAGCAAAACUGUUGGAGCUGCAGUCUAACUAGCUCUUGAGGGUAUCGGGUCUCCUCGCUAAAAAAUCACCGAGGUUCGCUAGGCGCACGUAACCUAGACAGUCUUGUCAGCUGACGAUAAUUGCUGACUACACACGUAGGCCGCUACUCAGACGUUGUUUCGGACGCGAGUUCGAUUCUCGCCACCUCCACCA